CGUUCCCUCAGCCGCAACAGUCGCCGCUUCCGAUUCGGGCGAUUCCGGCGGCUAGUGCCGGCGCGGAGCACACCACCGAGCUCGCCUCGCUCGGAUCCAUCCUCCCCUCCAGUAAAUUUCCCCUCUCGGCCUCGACCGCCCGCCCAAAAUCCACGCCCGUGCUAGGGCUUGGCCCUCCGGCACCGGUUUCGUCGUCAGCGCAUCUCCGGCGGUCUCCGAUGGCUCUUCUCCAUCGUCUAUCGCGCGCCCUUGAUUCCUGAUGGUCCACCUUGAGAAAGGCGACAUGGAGGACCUCCUCUUGCAGGAUCCACGGACGCGGCGCAUCCUGCAGCCGCCGAUCCGAGAUGAGGGCGGGCAUGGCGGCCUUGUCCUGCUCGACGGCAGUGGCGGCAAACACCGGUGCUCCUCCUUGUCAUCAACCUCCAAGGAGGAGCGCCCGUACAGCACAAGCACGCCCCUGUACCCCCUUCUCCCAUCCAGCGGUGUACAGGACGUCCUCCUCCCCAACAGGCUGUCUUUGCUGGAUUAGGUGGAGCAGCAAGUCCAGCACCCUCUUGGCCCCAACCUCAUAUCCUCUAGUGUGGCUCACCGACGGCUGCGUCCUCCGCUCCUAGCGUGAUAUUGGUUUUUGGGAGCAUUUUCAACAACAAGACGUGGUUGAUGACUUAGGCAUGGACGUUCGGAUCUGUUGCCGGAAAUGCCAGAUGACCCCGUGUUGAUGUUUGAUGGUUAAUGCCUGAUGAGAGCGGGGCCUUGUUUGAUGGGGGAGGCGCUGGCAUAGUGUCCUCUGAGACAUACUUGUAAAAUUAACAUUUUUUGGGGCGCUGGCAUAGUGUUCUCGACAUGCUUGUAAAAUUAAUGUUUUUUUGGAUCUUCUAUUUUUGCUCCUGUACAUGUGUAAUUUAAGAUGUGUUUAUGUAAUUUUCUUUCUUUUA